rnacentral:sRNA from 2 species
UCCUGGGUCAUGUGGGAAAACUUCCUUGGCGGUCUAUUUCUUGAGAUUUGAUGCGGUCUAGACUUAAGGUUGUGGGAUCUUAUUAUACAACGAUUAUUUAGUUAGUUGGAGGGGCUGGGAAAGAAAUCAACUCCUAGUCGAUAAAUUUUUAUUUUUGCUUUAGCAAAGGGGUUUAUGGGGGUUGAUGAGGUAUUAUAUACGCACUGUACCAGGACUAUUAUUUAUUUAUUUCUUCUAGAAUUUGCUAAAUCGACUCGACUUAUGGACAUUUGGAGGAUAAUCUCCGGACAAGAUUUUUUGGGUUUUCAUACCACAGCCGGU